rnacentral:misc_RNA from 1 species
AGGUCAUUAACAAAUAAGACCAUAUAUCUAUGACCCAAACACGACAGGACCCAUACAUCAGAAUGAAUAAUUUCAAAUGGUUUCUGAGUUUUAUGCUCAACUGAGGUAAGAGGAACUUUAAACAGUUUUUCUAAGUAACACGACAAACAAGAAGACAUUGAAGACUUUGACACUGGCAAAUUGAGCUGAGAAACAAUUUUUGAAACUUUGUAUUGGUGAGGAUGGCCAAGACGGGCAUGCCACUCAUCUAUACUGAGCUGAUCAACUGUAAAAGCUUGUUUUAUUGGUGGAUAUAAUGUAUAGAUGCCAUUUUCACUUGCUCCCCGGAGAAACACCUUCUUGGAAAUCUGAUCCUUCACAACAAAGAAGGUAGGCCAGAAUUAAAAGAAACUAGAAUCAUCAGAGGUGAAUUUUUGAAUAGAUAAUAAAAUUUUCACAAUUGUGGGAAUACAAA